rnacentral:rRNA from 1 species
UACGGAGGAUCCGAGCGUUAUCCGGAUUUAUUGGGUUUAAAGGGUGCGUAGGCGGCUCAUUAAGUCAGGGGUGAAAGACGGCAGCUCAACUGUCGCAGUGCCUUUGAUACUGAUGAGCUUGAAUGUGGUUGAAGAUGGCGGAAUGAGACAAGUAGCGGUGAAAUGCAUAGAUAUGUCUCAGAACUCCGAUUGCGAAGGCAGCUGUCUAAGUCAUUAUUGACGCUGAUGCACGAAAGCGUGGGGAUCGAACAGG